rnacentral:rRNA from 1 species
UACGUAGGGGGCAAGCGUUGUCCGGAAUCAUUGGGCGUAAAGCGCGUGUAGGCGGUCCGGUAAGUCGGCUGUGAAAGUCCAGGGCUCAACCCUGGGAUGCCGGUCGAUACUGCCGGACUAGAGUUCGGAAGAGGCGAGUGGAAUUCCCGGUGUAGCGGUGGAAUGCGCAGAUAUCAGGAGGAACACCGGUGGCGAAGGCGGGUCUCUGGGCAG